rnacentral:rRNA from 1 species
UACAGAGGGUGCGAGCGUUAAUCGGAAUUACUGGGCGUAAAGCGCACGUAGGUGGCGACGUAAGUCGGGUGUGAAAGCCCCGGGCUCAACCUGGGAAUUGCAUUCGAGACUCCAUUGCUGGAGUACGGAAGAGGAGGGCGGAAUUCCCGGUGUAGCGGUGAAAUGCGUAGAUAUCGGGAGGAACAUCAGUGGCGAAGGCGGCCCUCUGGUCCAGUACUGACACUCAAGUGCGAAAGCGUGGGGAGCAAACAGG